AUAUUGGGGACUUAGCCCACCCUGGCCUACAGAGGAGUCACUGAUCUGCCCUAAGUUAUUUCCUUCAUGGCUACUGAGAAGCAGCUACUCUUUUAGUAGAAGCUACUUGAACCAGAAUCAGUCGAGAAACAGAACCAACAAGAGGAGAUUUACUACAUGAAUUGGCUCACAUGAUUAGAGAGGCCAAGAAGUCCCAUGAUUUGCCAUCUGCAACCUGGAGAACAGGAAAGCCAGUGGUGUAAUUCAGUCUGAAUCUAAAAGCCAAAGAACCAGGAGCACCAAUGUUUGAGGGCAGAAGAGGAUGGAUGUCUCACCUCAAACGAAAGUAAAUUCUCCCUUCCUCCACCUUCUUGUUCUAUUUAGGCCCUCAAUGGAUUGGAUGAUGCCCAGCCACAUUGGUGAGAGCGAUUUUCUUUACUCAGUCUACAGAUUCAAACGCUAACCUCUUGUAGAAACACCCUCAAAGACACACCCAGAAAUGAUCUUUUGCCGACUAUCUGGGCUUCCCUUAGCCCAGUCAAGUAGACAAAUAAAAUUAACCAUCACACUCA